rnacentral:rRNA from 1 species
AGCGAGCGCUGGCGGCAGGCCUAACACAUGCAAGUCGAACGAACUCUUCGGAGUUAGUGGCGGACGGGUGAGUAACACGUGGGAACGUGCCUUUUGGUUCGGAAUAACUCAGGGAAACUUGUGCUAAUACCGAAUGUGCCCUUCGGGGGAAAGAUUUAUCGCCAUUAGAGCGGCCCGCGUCUGAUUAGCUAGUUGGUGAGGUAACGGCUCACCAAGGCGACGAUCAGUAGCUGGUCUGAGAGGAUGACCAGCCACACUGGGACUGAGACACGGCCCAGACUCCUACGGGAAGCAGCAGUGGGGAAUCUUGCGCAAUGGGCGAAAGCCUGACGCAGCCAUGCCGCGUGAAUGAUGAAGGUCUUAGGAUUGUAAAAUUCUUUCACCGGGGACGAUAAUGACGGUACCCGGAGAAGAAGCCCCGGCUAACUUCGUG